UGGUCUAAUACUUCAUAAUAUCCAUCUCGUAUGGAUUAAAGCUUUAUGCGCUUUGGGAGGGGCCUGCGUAACAUUAGCUAGUUGGUGAGGUAAAAGCUCACCAAGGCUUCGAUGUUUAACUGGUUUGAGAGGAUGACCAGUCACACUGGGACUGAGAUACGGCCCAGACUCCUACGGGAGGCAGCAGUAAGGAAUCUUCCACAAUGGGGCAACCCUGAUGGAGCAAUACCGCGUGCAGGAUGAAGCGUUUCGGCGUGUAAACUGCUUUUAUCACCGAAGAUUAUGACUGUAGGUGAAGAAUAAGGACCGGCUAACUACGUG
rnacentral:rRNA from 1 species